GUGUUGCAGUGUUUACACAUAUAAUAAAUUUGGAAUGAUCGAGAGAUUAGCAUGUUGUCUUAGCAAGGAUGGCAUGGAAAUUCCUAAGGCAUUCCAUAUUUUU
rnacentral:snRNA from 1 species